GCCUUGGUGGUGUAGUGGUAGCACACGAUCCCGGUAUGGAUGAAACGCGGGUUCAACUCUCGCCUGAAGUCG